AUUAACCCAAAGGUUUUUGAGGAUUUUAAUGCUGAAGAUCGUAAUGCUUGUAAACAACUUGAAGCUCUGUCCUGGGGAUUGUUUUAUGACGAAAACAUACCCCGUCCAGAAAAAAUUAACAUUGAAAACUUGGAUCUAAAAGACUAUUAUUUAUCUAAAAAUAUAAAAGUAUGUUAUGAGAUUAAUUCAGGAGAAGAUAUCAGGAAUGUAAUCCGUCACUAUGCAAAGACCGGAGAAGAUGAGGUUACAUACCUGAAGGUCAAUGACUGGAUAUUAGAGGUUGAUCCUAUAACUCUGUAUGUCGCUCCAGUUGGAAAAAAGCUUGACAACAAUGAAAGAGAAAAUGAAGAAAACGUUAAGGAAUGUAUUGAAGCUCAGAUAGGAAAAGAAAGUUACUCUAAAAUACGAGAAGGAAUUAAAGCAGAAAUGGGCCAAAAUGACCCAAGAGAAAGAUACGCUCAAUAUGUGGAAGGUAUUUUUCGUGGAGAGCCCACAACACCUCGCCUCCCGCUCUCCGCUGAGGCCUGGUGCACCACAUAUUUCACUGCAUCAGUUAUAUCUGAAUCUGCUAGAAACUUCCGGACAUUUCCUCUGAUUCUCAUGGCCCUGGAUAUGGUCCAAAGCACAGACAACAAUAUCAAAGAGAAAGGACUGAACUUUCUUUGGGAAGAACAUUCAAUGGCAAGAGGAGGUUCUUGGAUUGACCCAAGCAAGCGUGGAUUUAGUGGCUCAGCCACAGAUAAAGAGAGAAUUUUAGUUAC